GCUCACUUCGGCGGCACAUACAUACAUCGGAACGAUACAGAGAAGAUUAGCAUGGCCCCUGUGCAAGGAUGACACGCAAAUUCGUGAAGCAUUCCAUAUUUUU